GAUGAACGCUGGCGGCGUGCCUAAUACAUGCAAGUCGAGCGAACGGACGAGAAGCUUGCUUUUCUGAUGUUAGCGGCGGACGGGUGAGUAACACGUGGAUAACCUACCUAUAAGACUGGGAUAACGUCGGGAAACCGGAGCUAAUACCGGAUAAUAUUUUGAACCGCAUGGUUCAAAAGUGAAGGAGGGUCUUGCUGUCACUUAUAGAUGGAUCCGCGCUGCAUUAGCUAGUUGGUAAGGUAACGGCUUACCAAGGCAACGAUGCAUAGCCGACCUGAGAGGGUGAGCGGCCACCCUGGAACUGAGCCACGGUCCGGACUCCUACGGGAGGCAGCAGUAGGGAAUCUUCCGCAAUGGGCGAAAGCCUGACGGAGCAACGCCGCGUGAGUGAUGAAGGUCUUCGGAUCGUAAAACUCUGUUAUUAGGGAAGAACAUAUGUGUAAGUAACUGUGCACAUCUUGACGGUACCUAAUCAGAAAGCCACGGCUAACUACGUG
rnacentral:rRNA from 1 species